UUAGGUAAUAAAGGGACAAUGGAGGUCAUAUGUUCCAGGUACCUCACUGGACAGAUGAGAAAGAGGCCAAAACCUCAAGCUGCCUCCAUGUUGUUACCAGUCCAGACGCUCACGUGGUUAGCAGCAAAGUAUGGACCAGAAGCAGUGCUGUGGGACUUAGGGGUCAAGCCAACCAAUCAUAACCUCACACAUAGGUUUUAUAGGACUCCCCACACUUGUGCUUUGUCCCCUCAGAAACCCUCUGCGGCAGGGAGGGCAGCCAUUACCAAGGCCAUUUACACGUGAGGAGACCGAGGUCAGCGAGUAGCUUUUUGAAGGCUUCCCCUUGGGACAGUGGACUUGGCUGGGUGCUCUUUCUGCUCCAAGGAAGUUAAGUAAUGACUCCUAAGUUCUUCAGGACUCACUAACUCCAAGACCAUUGCAAGCUGCUGUGAUUCCUAUGAGUUUUGGAGUGAGAAUAGAGUGGAGGAAAGUAAGAGUAGAAACAAGGAGACCAGUUAGGAGUCCUUGAUAAUCCAGAAUGUUUCAGAAGUGAUGCUGUGCCACUUCCAGCCUGCACAUCAACAGGUUUUAUACGCUUCCUUUUGGUUUCUUGGGACUCUGCAACCUCCAUGUAAGGAAGGCCAGGCUAGCUUGUUGGAGGACAAGAAACCACAAUAACAUCCCAGCAGAGGCCACCUGAAACCAUCCCAGAUGCAUGAGCAAGCAGAGUUGAGAAAAACCAAGCCUAGCCCAGAUAAGCAGAACUACCCAGUUGACCCAUAGAUUUAUAAGCCAA
rnacentral:lncRNA from 1 species